AGAGUUUGAUCCUGGCUCAGGAUGAACGCUGGCGGCGUGCCUAACACAUGCAAGUCGAGCGAUUUACUUCGGUAAAGAGCGGCGGACGGGUGAGUAACGCGUGGGUAACCUGCCCUAUACACACGGAUAACAUACCGAAAGGUAUGCUAAUACGGGAUAACAUAAGAGAUUCGCAUGGAUUUCUUAUCAAAGCUUUUGCGGUAUAGGAUGGACCCGCGUCUGAUUAGCUAGUUGGUAAGGUAACGGCUUACCAAGGCGACGAUCAGUAGCCGACCUGAGAGGGUGAUCGGCCACAUUGGAACUGAGACACGGUCCAAACUCCUACGGGAGGCAGCAGUGGGGAAUAUUGCACAAUGGGCGAAAGCCUGAUGCAGCAACGCCGCGUGAGCGAUGAAGGCCUUCGGGUCGUAAAGCUCUGUCCUCAAGGAAGAUAAUGACGGUACUUGAGGAGGAAGCCCCGGCUAACUACGUGCCAGCAGCCGCGGUAAUACGUAGGGGGCUAGCGUUAUCCGGAAUUACUGGGCGUAAAGGGUGCGUAGGUGGUUUCUUAAGUCAGAGGUGAAAGGCUACGGCUCAACCGUAGUAAGCCUUUGAAACUGAGAAACUUGAGUGCAGGAGAGGAGAGUAGAAUUCCUAGGGUAGCGGUGAAAUGCGUAGAUAUUAGGAGGAAUACCAGUUGCGAAGGCGGCUCUCUGGACUGUAACUGACACUGAGGCACGAAAGCGUGGGGAGCAAACAGGAUUAGAUACCCUGGUAGUCCACGCCGUAAACGAUGAGUACUAGCUGUCGGAGGUUACCCCCUUCGGUGGCGCAGCUAACGCAUUAAGUACUCCGCCUGGGAAGUACGCUCGCAAGAGUGAAACUCAAAGGAAUUGACGGGGACCCGCACAAGUAGCGGAGCAUGUGGUUUAAUUCGAAGCAACGCGAAGAACCUUACCUAAGCUUGACAUCCUUUUGACCUCUCCCUAAUCGGAGAUUUCCCUUUGGGGACAGAAGUGACAGGUGGCGCAUGGUUGUCGUCAGCUCGUGUCGUGAGAUGUUGGGUUAAGUCCCGCAACGAGCGCAACCCUUGCCUUUAGUUGCCAGCAUUAAGUUGGGCACCCUAGAGGGACUGCCAAGGAUAACCUGGAGGAAGGUGGGGAUGACGUCAAAUCAUCAUGCCCCUUAUGCUUAGGGCUACACACGUGCUACAAUGGGUGGUACAGAGGGCAGCCAAGUCGUGAGGCGGAGCUAAUCCCUUAAAGCCAUUCUCAGUUCGGAUUGUAGGCUGAAACUCGCCUACAUGAAGCUGGAGUUACUAGUAAUCGCAGAUCAGAAUGCUGCGGUGAAUGCGUUCCCGGGUCUUGUACACACCGCCCGUCACACCAUGGGAGUUGGGGGCGCCCGAAGCCGGUUAGCUAACCUUUUGGAAGCGGCCGUCGAAGGUGAAACCAAUAACUGGGGUGAAGUCGUAACAAGGUA
rnacentral:rRNA from 1 species